rnacentral:rRNA from 1 species
GGGGGAUAUUGCACAAUGGAGGAAACUCUGAUGCAGCAACGCCGCGUGAGGGAAGAAGGUCUUCGGAUUGUAAACCUUUGUCCUUGGUGACGAAACAAAUGACGGUAGCCAAGGAGGAAGCUCCGGCGAACUACGUGCCAGCAGCCGCGGUAAUACGUAGGGAGCAAGCGUUGUCCGGAUUUACUGGGUGUAAAGGGUGCGUAGGCGGCUCUGCAAGUCAGGCGUGAAAACUAUGGGCUUAACCCAUAGACUGCGUUUGAAACUGUGGGGCUUGAGUGAAGUAGACGUAGGCGGAACUCCCGGUGUAGCGGUGAUAUGCGUAGUGAUCGGGAGGAACACCAGUGGCGAAGGCGGCCUACUGGGCUUUAACUGACGCUGAAGCACGAAAGCAUGGGGAGCAAAC